UCCCAAUUUCUUCAACCCACCAAAUCCAAUCUGCGGCGGCUCCAAGCCUCGCCCCGAGGGGUGCCCUCUGCCGGCUACGUCUGGUCUCCUCCGUCGACGACCUCACCAGUCAGGGCCCGGCCGGCUUCCCUUGUCCUCCCCGUCCCCAGGCCACACCUCUCCUGGCGUCGUCCUCAACGUCCGCAAGCCGGGUCCACGCCGGCGUCAUCCUCCUGCCAAAAUUCCGCCACAUCAAGCCGGUGCACCCUCGAAUCCAUCUGCUGUACAAUUUACCAUUAUACAGUAUCAAGCAGAUUGGUUGUCAACAAAUCUCACCAUUAGGACCAACCAGCAUCAAUCAGGGAACUCAUGUAUAAGAUUCGGAUCUGAUGGAACAACCACAUUGGUGGUCAAAAGCCAAAGCUGACCACUCCAACACAACCUAAGACAUUUGUGCUCCAAGACAACGUCAAGACAUUUGGUAGCUGAGAAUUUAGAAUUGGAAUGCAUUGCAGGAGCAAGGAGCAACUACACAAGAAUUAGUCUUUAAAUGAAAUAUAUUAUG